rnacentral:rRNA from 1 species
GUUGCCAGCAUUUAGUUGGGCACUCUAAGGGGACUGCCGGUGAUAAGCCGAGAGGAAGGUGGGGAUGACGUCAAGUCCUCAUGGCCUUACGGGCUGGGCUACACACGUGCUACAAUGGUGGUGACAGUGGGCAGCGAGCACGCGAGUGUGAGCUAAUCUCCAAAAGCCAUCUCAGUUCGGAUUGCACUCUGCAACUCGAGUGCAUGAAGUUGGAAUCGCUAGUAAUCGCGGAUCCAGCAUAGACCGCGGUGAAUACGUUCCCGGGCCGUU